AUUGAACGCUGGCGGCAUGCCUUACACAUGCAAGUCGAACGGUAACAGGUCUUCGGAUGCUGACGAGUGGCGAACGGGUGAGUAAUACAUCGGAACGUGCCCGAUCGCGGGGGAUAACGAAGCGAAAGCUUUGCUAAUACCGCAUACGAUCUACGGCUGAAAGCAGGGGCACGCAGGGCCUGGCGCGAACGGAGCGGCCGAUGGCAGAUUAGGUAGUUGGUGGGAUAAAAGCUUACCAAGCCGACGAUCUGUAGCUGGUCUGAGAGGACGACCAGCCACACUGGAACUGAGACACGGCCCAGACUCCUACGGGAGGCAGCAGUGGGGAAUUGUGGACAAUGGGCGAAAGCCUGAUCCAGCCAUGCCGCGUGCAGGAUGAAGGCCUUCGGGUUGUAAACUGCUUUUGUACGGAACGAAAAGACUCUUUCCAAUAAAGAGGGUCCAUGACGGUACCGUAAGAAUAAGCACCGGCUAACUACGUGCCAGCCGCCGCGGUAAAAC
rnacentral:rRNA from 1 species